UAUGAAUCUAUGAAUUUGGAGGGAGUCUGUCUAACUUACUGUAAAAUCUAAUACACCGUUAAUAAAUUAGUGUAGUGAAAUUACAUAGUAGGUACUAUUUUACAUCACUUUCAAUAAAAUGGUACAUCGAGGUUUUGUUCGUUUUGUGAUUGAGUGUGAUACAUGCGUGGCCUGUAUAAGCUCCUGAAAAAAAGGAAAUUAACCCGAUGUAACGUGAGUAGGAAAGCAGAAAAAUAAUGCCUGUCAAUAAAUAGGUCAACCAUUGAAAAUAUCUCUUAGCGUUUUUUAAGUUGCGAGUUUUUGAGAAGAGUGGAUUCAAUAUUUCAGAAUGACCAAAUGAAUAAAGCAGAAUUGGUUCCACUCAACUUGCGAAGGAUUUAAAAGCCUUUUAAUGCUAAAGGUGGUUGCAGCAUGUUCGUCGCUUGAGGAUUUAUAAAAUACAGUUUUUUUUUGUGUUGCCUGAUUAAAAGCUUUUUCUUGU